rnacentral:rRNA from 1 species
AUACGGAGGGUGCAAGCGUUACUCGGAAUCACUGGGCGUAAAGGGCGCGCAGGCGGUUUGGUAAGUCAGAUGGGAAAGCCCACGGCUCAACCGUGGAAGUGCAUUUGAAACUGUCAGACUUGAGUACUAGAGGGGAAAGUGGAAUUCCCGGUGUAGAGGUGAAAUUCGUAGAUAUCGGGAGGAAUACCGGUGGCGAAGGCGACUUUCUGGCUAGAUACUGACGCUGAGGCGCGAAAGCGUGGGGAGCAAACAGGAUUAGAUACCCCAGUAGCCC